rnacentral:rRNA from 1 species
CAGGUCCAGUUACGCCGUCCCGAGCUGCAUCUCCCGCGCUGCCGAGGUCCCGCUACGUCCCUUUGUCGCCUAGACCACGUCGCCAGGCUCCACCUGACCUAGCCCCCGCUCUCCGUCCAAGAUCGCUUCCUCCCUACCUAAGCCGGCUACGCCGCUGGACGGCCUCUCGCCGUCGCCGCCCCGACCUAGGCCAGCUACCCGUUGGUGGCCUAGUCAAACCCUCGGGUCGUCGUCGCGAGGCAGGUGUGGGACCCGACCUGGCCGUCGUCGUGACGAGGGAGGGAGGAUCGGGGCGCGAUCUAACCGUCGUCGUCGCAUCUACCUAAGUUGGCGGUCGAGCCCGGUGCUUCCCGAACUGGGGUCGGUGUUUAACGGGGGUAUCUCAUACAACUGAUACAGGAUUAUACAUACGAGUUAAAACAGAAGAACAGAGUUUUUUUUCAAACAGAAGAACUAAAAAGACCGACGCCCCGUACCCUCGGUACCUAGCUAGGGUGCAUGUGUCCAUGAUGUAAUAAAAAAGCAUACGAAGAAGAUCUAAAGCAAAACUCGGCUAUUCACGCUCUACACCGUAGUGAAGAGCCGAGAUGUUUUAGGUAACGACUUCACGCACAGGACCCCAGGGUCGGAGGUAGUGAAGAAGUCAAGGGCGAUCCAAGUUCUUGUUUUUUUUAGUCACGCCUUCUGGUGAUCGUCUUAACCUACAACAUACGUGGAAGUAGAACGUCAGGUUAAUGAACCUAAUAAACCCUGUUUAAGCAAACGAAAAUUGGCAUGCUGUCAAUAUAUCGUCCUAUUCCUAUGUACGAACAUGACGGAGAUAGUGUUUAACGUGUACUCAAUUGAUCUUUCGAUCGUUAGUUAGCGGGACUUCCAUAACGAGAAAAUAAAAUAAAGUCUAGCACUCCUUUCCCCAAGUCUAUUCACUGAUGAGAUACGACAUGAUUGAUGAAAUACAACAUGACUGAUUAGAAUCUUUAUAUAAACCAGGUCCUCAUCAUGUAUCUCGUAAAGACCUAGUCUAUAUGUGUGCGAUAAGUGGAAGUAUUGGGCUAAAAAAAACGAAUACUACUACAAAUAAUAGCCUUUCGAGAACUGUUUUCGUAGUUCAUUACCCGGUUAUGAGUUUAUUGACUGAGUGGAUGUUAGAAAAAAAGAUUGCCGUCAUAAUAUAUGUGUUAUUAUUAAAAAAUGUAAAAAGAAUAACCCUCCGGACUCUGUAACGACUUCGGAAAACUUCACUAGCUAAACUCUGUGAUUUCUGAGACCUCUCGAAAACACACCUCAAACAAAGAAAACAAGACGUAUUGACACUACGGAACUACGCCCCAACAUAACACUAGACUUGAAAUCAAACCAAGCUACGCACAACUACCACGAAGUCCCAAAAGCGGAGCAUCACCCGCAAAGCUAACGCUCGCGAGUGUCGCCCAAAGGGACUUCACGAACUAGGGCGACAAAGGGAAAGGGAACAAACUUGAACCUUGACCGACAUAAAGGCAAUAUAAAAAUUACCUUUCCCCUAAUCGGGCCCAGUUUUUUUUGUAAAAAGAAUAACAACGUUUAUAUAUAGAACCAUCAAUAUUUACUAUGUAGAUAAACUAGUAGUCUACGAAUAGACAUCACAAAUCCUCUCAAAAAAACUAACCUUUACUGAAAACUAAGAACCAAGAACUCCACCAUAUAAUGAGACUUCGUGAAGUUAAGAACCGAGACCGAUUCGUAUUAUAUAAUGAAAUGAUGACUCUAAACCGAUGAUUACUAUAUACAAUGGUAACAAAAACAACAGAAACUAUCAUAUUUUCUAGCCUUCACGUAGUCGAUAGUGACGAGGACAAACAACCAUCUAAACCGUUUGGGAGAUUCAAGUAAAAGGUGCUUUUAUAUCAAACAUUGUGACCAAGCUUAAUUAUAUAACUAUAUUCAUCCCGUUAUAGGUUCAAAGAAAUAUGACUAUAUUCAAGUCUUAAACGUUGUGGUAAGAUGAUGAAUGUGUUCUCGGAACACCGAUUAGUAUGAACUAGGACACACGAGAGUAGACAUCCAUACCCAAAGUGUAGCAACAGUUAAAACUAUACAAAGUGCCCUACUUACUACGCAGUCUAAGAAGAUUUUGACGGUGAUAAGUCAUACAUAGGUAGCGUUGGGAUUCAAUACAGACAGUACGUAAGUAAUAGAAAUAAAAAACUCCGAGUUAGGUGAAAAUCGAAAACAGGAGAACCUCUGCAGGAGGAACUUGUCGAACCUAAGUCAGUAGUUCAGGUAGUAUCCAAAGACGACCUACGGGUCGUAGGCGAACGUGAAUCUGUCCCUCCCUCCCUUCCUCGACGGUAUAACUUCGUAGGGUAUAAAUACGAAUGGGGCUAGAGAUCUCAGUUCCUAGGAAGUGACUAACUUUCUACGUUUAUGACUCGAUACGAUUGAUCUCAUUACGAUAGAUGAAAUAUAGUCGCGUAAAAUAAACUAAGAACGCCAUAGAUCUGUUAUAACGUGCUGGUUUAGUAUUGUCUGGCCCACUAACUGUAAGUGGAUGGACAUUCCUAAGAGGGUCCAACAUAGAUAGCUCCUCACUCGCCUCCUCGUCCUAAUCCUCUACGGGUAACACCGGAUCGUCGACUACAGAGGGGCCACCGAAGUAUUAUACGGUCUGACGAAGAACACACAAACGUCGAACGAUUUGUAAGUAGUUUUAAUACCAAGCGAACGUGGAACAUGUUCAUACUUAAAAACGGUAUAGGGUGAAGUCCCGUAUUAAAAAAAAACUUUGCCGUCGCGUGUUUAAUUCAAAAAAAAAUAUAACCUAGCUAUAAACAUACCAACUGAAGCUGUCUUGGAAAAUGUUGGUCGAUGUAUCAUACCAUUUAGUGAUUUGACAUUACGAAGUCAGAGGGACACAAGAUUUUUAUUUUACGAACCUUGAAAAUUGAAUAGUUCGUUACUGAAAUAAAUGAGUAUACACAUAACAAACUAAGCUUCCGAUUGUUAUUGAAAACUGGUUGAUAACCCUCUGGUGAUAGAAUAGAAUCUUUGUCCUCAUAAUAAUUGAAAACUGUUUGAUAACAAUUCAUGUGAUAACCCUCAGAACUCGGUACAAACACAACAAUCCCCGUACUAAAAAAAAAGAGGGCAACGUUGUGUACCCGUAUAUAAUCCACCGUAGCGACCAGGCACAUUUUACCCAAAUUUGAACCGCUUCGAUAACUUGUUGUGAGAACGAAAGAAGACAAUCCUGGGAAAUAGUUAGUAACUCGGUGCGGUUCAAAAACUCUACCAUUACUUCGGACGGUGUAAUUUAAACAGGGAGGGGAACCAAGAAACAAUAGAUAAGAAAACUUAAGGACUUAAAAGAGACGUUUUAUUCAGAACGAAACGGUCUUCUAACUUGACAAAGAAAAGUCGAUGCUAGUAGAUUAGAGUAUAUACACAAGUAAACUUGAAUAAAUGAGAAAACUGACAACUAAACCAAACGAAACGGACUUCUAACUUGACAAAGAAAAAUGACAACUAAAUACUUGAGGUUCAUGACUACACGUAUUAAUUCGUAGACAAGUAGUCCACAGUAACAUAUACCUGUUCAGACGUCCCCAAACGGUCAGCCUGAAGGUACUAACGUUUAACAGCAAGGACGUUAAAUAUACACUAGUGCUAGAAAAACAACUCUACUGACUCUGAAACCAGCAGGAGGUGUCGCCCUACGCUGGAGGGACCUCGUCACCCAGUCCGCGUAGUAGCCUCCCCCUCUUCUAGAACAAUAGAUGUUGUUGCAACUCACUUGGCGGCAGCUUGACUUCGCGCGGAGGAUAUCGACGCUGGGACACAACCGGGACGGGCGCAUGCAGGCGAUUCUGGCCUUUGUCUCGUCUUUUCCUCAAGUUUACAGGAGAGAGACAAAAAGGAGGGAGAUCCUCCCGCAACGGCCUCGUCAAUUCGGUACGCCUCCAAACUUUUACCGUGUCCUCCGCCGGAUUCCCACCGUGCCGCAUGUUAGGGAGAUGACAGUAAAAUAUAGAGACUUAAAAAAAACGACGUACGCGUCCACAAAGUCCGUCUUUGUCAUUAUCGUAGCUGAUCCUCCUCGUUCUGUUCUUCGUUGCUGUUGAUGGUAACGACCGAUUCGAUGGAUGAUGCUACGGGCGGAGAGAAACGUUACCGGUUUCGUGUGUUGUUAGGUGUCAAACCACUUAAAAGGGGGGUGAAACCACUGUACCCUGCCUAACACCCGUUGUCGUAAAAUCUUCUUAGCCAUCAUCUUUGCACU